AACGUAGGAGACGAGCGUUAUCCGGAUUUACUGGGCGUAAAGCGCGUGUAGGCGGUCUGGAAAGUUGGAUGUGAAAGCUCCCGGCUUAACUGGGAGAGGUCGUUCAAAACUACCGGACUAGAGUGCGGGAAAGGGAGGUGGAAUUCCGGGUGUAGUGGUGAAAUGCGUAGAUAUCCGGAGGAACACCAGUGGCGAAAGCGGCCUUCUGGCCCGCAACUGACGCUCAGACGCGAAAGCUAGGGGAGCAAACGGG
rnacentral:rRNA from 1 species